AGACCUAGUGUAACAAUAAAUACUACUUUACAUAAGAAAUAGAAAAACGAAAUAGGAAAUUUCGGGUCUUUGGGUCUUCAAAAGCUUCUUAAAGGUAGAGAGGGACGCGCCUGCUCUGGUAGUGCUAGGCAGUUCGUUCCACCAACGUGGAACUACUUGAAAAUUCUGGAUUGCCGUACUUGCACAGACGGCAGUGCCAAACGACGCUCACUAGACGAGCGCAGCAUUCCGGUGUAGUCCUUUUAUUUAUUUUAUGACAUCACGGUGCCUCGUAGAAUCAUGACUUUAGGCCUACAUGUGAAACGUAAUUGUUAAUGAUACUUUAAUCCGAGGAUCUGUAGAGUUGAUGUGAACGCAAUCACCAACGAUUUCUCACAAAUUCAUUAACACGGAGAGUUUUCUUAAAUGCAAUUCCUCAAAAAACCACAAGAUGGCCCAUGGGGCCCAUGGGGCCAUCUUGUGGUUUUUGAAGGAAUCGCAUUUGAGAAAACUCUGGCCGAGUUACGACUGCUAUUUCGAGUUCGGAAAGUCUUCUGAAGUUCAGAGCAAAUCCCAGAUGAGAAAACUUUCAUGAAUGCCAAAUGUUGUCCUAAAUCCAAUUCAGAAGAAAUUCCUCUUAAAUUCCUCUUAAAUUCUUCUUAACUGCGUUCGAGAAUGAGGCCCAUUGUACUCAUCAGCAUGGGAGACAUUGGGUUAGUUUGCAUAACAAACUGGGAGACAUUGAAUCAGAAUUAGGAAAACUACUACGCUUAUCAAGAGACAGAAGCCUCGUUCAGAAUUAAGAAAACUACUAAGCUUAUCAAGAGAUAGCUGCCUCGUUCUUUUGUUUUACCCGACAAAUCAGUGACACACUGUGUCCAUUGUUGUCAUGGUUUUUAGUAGCUAGUAAUAACAUUAAAAUUUCUGAUGUUUGCAAGGUGAAGACUGAAUACUGUGAAAUGUGAAUGUGAUUUGAUGUUUUAAGUGCUUUGUUUAUUUGAUUUCUUUAGUAGUCCUUCACUGUGUUAUAACUGACUAUCAGAGGAUAAAGAUAUUUAAUGAAUACCAGUUGUCGUGCAGAUGCUUCACAUGAACACAUUGGAUUUUUGCAUUGAAUGGAAAUCACAGACAUCAUUGAUUUUUCCUCAUCGCCGUAAAAAAAAACCUCAAAGAUGGGAUGCUGUUAUGACUUGUUUCAGUCACCCUAUGCGUAUUUCACAAACUCAAAGUUUCCAGUUGAGUCUGCUGCCUGUUCCAUGGAAUCAUGUAUGCCAAUAUUGCAUAGAAUAAAACAAAACAAAAAAC
ensembl:lncRNA